rnacentral:rRNA from 1 species
AGAGUUUGAUCCUGGCUCAGGAUGAAUGCUAGCGGCAGGCUUAACACAUGCAAGUCGAGGGGCAGCGCGGUAGUAGCAAUACUACUGGCGGCGACCGGCAGAAGGGUGCGUAACACGUGAGCAACCUGCCCGUGACAGGGGGAUAACCGACGGAAACGUCGCCUAAUACCCCGUAACAACUUCGGAGGCAUCUCCGGAGUUUGAAAGACACGUCAGUCACGGAUGGGCUCGCGGUACAUUAGCUGGUUGGCGGGGUAACGGCCCACCAAGGCGACGAUGUAUAGGGGUUCUGAGAGGAAGGUCCCCCACACUGGAACUGAGACACGGUCCAGACUCCUACGGGAGGCAGCAGUGAGGAAUAUUGGACAAUGGAGGCAACUCUGAUCCAGCCAUGCCGCGUGAAGGAAUAAGGCCCUAUGGGUCGUAAACUUCUUUUGACGCAGAGCAAUAAGGACUACGUGUAGUCUGAUGAGAGUAUGCGUCGAACAAGCAUCGGCUAACUCCGUGCCAGCAGCCGCGGUAAUACGGAGGAUGCGAGCGUUAUCCGGAUUUAUUGGGUUUAAAGGGUGCGUAGGCGGUUGAUUAGGUCUAUGGUGAAAUGGUUGUGCUCAACACAAUUUAGCUGUAGAAACCGGUCAGCUAGAAUAUAAGUGGCGUAGGCGGAAUAAAGCGUGUAGAGGUGACAUUCAUAGAUAUGCUUUAGAACACCGUUCGCGAAGGCGGCUUACGAAGGUAAAAUUGACGCUAAUGCACGAGAGCGUGGGUAUCGAACAGAAUUAGAUACUCUGGUAGUCCACGCUGUAAACAAUGAUAACUAUAUGUCGGCCAUAGAA